UUUUUUUUUUUUUUAAUUUUUUAAAAUAUUAUUUAUUUAUUCAUGAGAGACAGACAGAGAGAGAGAAAGAGAGGGAGAGAGAGAGAGAGGCAGAGACGCAGGCAGAGGGAGAAGGAAGCUCCAUGGAGGGAGCCCGAUGUGGGACUUGAUCCCGGGUCUCUAGGAUCACGCCCCGGGCUGAAAGCGGCGCUAAACCGCUGAGCCACCCAGGCUACCCUAGUUGCUCUCUUUGAUGAGGCUUGUGUAUAACUGGAUCAAAUAAGAUCAUGUGUCUGAGAGAGUAUUUUACAAACUGUAGGGUGCUAUACUAAUGUUAGUAAUCAAAAUACCAUACAUGAUAUGAGAACUACAUUUAUACAGAAGUGGAUCAGAUGCUUCUUAUAAUGUUCUUGUACAAUAAGCUAAGGAGAAAUGUUUGUACUUUGGAUCCAGGAAGAACAAACACUGUGGUGGAUAACACAGUUGGUCCUGCCUGCCGUCAAGUGCCCACCAUGAAAGGAGCCUGCAAAACCUCUGGCUGCCUCUAGCUACCUCUAGCUCUCUCUGUCCCCCAAACCAUCCAGGGGGUUAUUCUGAAGAGAUCUUCUAAGCAUACCUGUUAAACCACAAGAUCAUAGUCACAAUGGGUGCAGGGAAUCCUCCCAAUUUCCUCUGGGAGCCCAGAAUCUGAGAGCAGCCUUCACUGAUAUGCAAGUAGAGUGGAUUUGGUGGAGAACAUGAGAGCAAAUGUAGCAUCUUCUUAAUUUCUUAAAACAUCUCUCAAAAUACUUCAAGUCUCCUUUAGGUUCAAUUUAACAUUUUACUUCUCUCAGCUUCCAGCUGACAGCAUGAAAAAAACCAAAUUGGUGUUGGCUGGUUGUGUUUUUUUAACCUAAUGACAAGCCUGGCUUAGAAUUAUUCAACCAUUCUUCAGGCUCCCAAUACUGUGUGUCUAUAGAUAAACAGGCAUAUAUAUUAUCUACUUUUGUUUACUUCUCCCCAAAUGGAAGUCCAUUAAUUUCCCAAUAUAGUUUACAGAAUGACUUGCCUGUUCCCAGCACAGAGAAUAUAUUAAUCCUUAGUCCUGAAAUGUUUAAGUUAGAAAAUAAUGGAAACAGAAAAAAUAGAGGGACCAAGACAACUCAUUUAUUUCAGAUAUUCACCCUAAACUACUUCAGAAAUGCCAGCAAUGAAUUAAACCAGAAUUCAAGAGGAAUGACCUAAAUCACACUUCACCAGAGUUCCUUAGCAGAAAUAGCACUUUAGGUCUAGAAUGGAAGAGCUUGAUGAUAUCUUGAGUCAAGUAGCAUGAACUUAGCUUCAACUGGUCUGGGGAUAAAGAAUCUAUAUUGUUGGUCUCUGCACAGAAACCUCACAGUCAAGUAUAAGGUACUGAUACCCUGUGAUAUGUUAGUGUGGAGGAGAGCUGCCUUGAAAAAUGGGCAACAUCUCUUCAUUUCUUUUUUUAGUAGGCUCUAUGCCCAGUGUGGUGGGGCUUGAACACAAAAGUUGCAUACUCUACCUAGGGAGCCAACCAGGUGCCCCAAGAUCUUUCCUUGCUCACUAAAUCAUAAACUAAAUCUGCUCCUCUACUUCUGUGGUCUCUUCCUGCUUUAAUUUUCCCUAGGCACAAAUGAAGUGGCCCUACAGGGAUCAAUCAACUCCCUUUUCCAUAAGGUAAACUGAAGGCUGAGGAUCCCAGUGUCCAAUGGUUGGUAAAGUCGAGGGUUGUGAUUGAGGCAAAAAUCAGGGACUUGGGAUUCCUUUGGGCUGCUGGUUGUCACUCUCAGCUAACUCACUUCUGAGCCCUUUUCAGGUUUUGAGGACGGUCCAGUUAUUUUCCCAAACCUCUUUGGGGCCACAGGAAACAAGGCUGUCACUUCAUUCAUUUCUCCUACUGUACAACCAUCUCUUCUCUGUUGACUCUAUCUCACUGUGGCAUAAGCACAGCUGCAGAGCUACCCUCCCUAGAUAGGAAGUAGAUGCAAACUCCACCACUCUCAGUUUCCUCAAAGUUGAUCUGGUGUGCCCUACCCCAACCACAGUCCUGUCUCUUCUGAGGGGAUCCACCUUGGGAAAAUGAUGGGACUAGGGCCUCUCUAGGAAACCAUCUAUCCCUACAGUCCGUGUAACACUACUAUAAUCCUCAAGAGAAGGUUACCUUGGAUGGAGAAUGGGAAAGGAGUUCUUUUGGACCAGUUAUUUGUCUACUGGUUAGGGCCAAAUCAUUGCUGCUUGCUCAGAAGUACUUUUCUCCCAAGACUACGUCUUGUGUUCUCAUACGGAUCUCAAAACCUGAGCAACCAACUUUUUUGUUUGGCAUUCCAGCUGUAUCCACCCCACUUUUCCCUGGGGCAGGGCAUGUCUUGGACUGUAGGGUGUGAGAGGGAAGUGAAGUGUGUGAUGUUGAUGGUAGCAGGGAAGACUCAAUGUCUCAAAACAUUCUUCUGCUCUACUGGCAUGGGCCUGUCACCAUGCUAAGUGCUUUAGACCCAUGUUAUCCUCAGAAUAAUUCCCCAAAUUACUACCAUUCUCCUUUCCAGGUGAAGAAAUGGGAGCUCAGUGAGAGGAUAGGUAACUUACUCAAAGAUCCCAGUUAUAAGUGGUGGAAACAGAAUGAAAUUUAGGAUUAUUUAAAUUCCAAAGCCUUCAUUUGACACCCCAACAGGGGUCUCAUCACCUUGGUGAACAAUUGACUCUCCAGGGAGUUUGCUAAAAAUAAUUUUGAUAAAGAUCCACUUCAAGUGAUCCCAAUCCCUACUGGUCUGUGAUGGGGCCUGGUCAUCUGUAUUUUGAAUAGUUUCUGUAAGUAAUGCAGAUGCCUCUCCUCCCCUCCCCCCUGCAGAGUUUUAGAGCCAGCUCUGCCACCUGUUAAUUGGGCGAUCUGGGACAGAUGAUUGCUCCUUUGUUGCCUUAGUUCCUCAUUUAUGAAAUGGGGGAUGCUGAUAGUACC
rnacentral:lncRNA from 1 species